rnacentral:rRNA from 1 species
AGCAUAUCAAUAAGCGGAGGAAAAGAAACCAACAGGGAAUUGCCCUAGUAACGGCGAGUGAAGCGGCAACAGCUCAAAUUUGAAAUCUGGCUCUUUCAGAGUCCGAGUUGUAAUUUGCAGAGGGCGCUUUGGCUUUGGCAGCGGUCCAAGUUCCUUGGAACAGGACGUCACAGAGGGUGAGAAUCCCGUACGUGGUCGCUAGCUAUUGCCGUGUAAAGCCCCUUCGACGAGUCGAGUUGUUUGGGAAUGCAGCUCUAAAUGGGAGGUAAAUUUCUUCUAAAGCUAAAUAUUGGCCAGAGACCGAUAGCGCACAAGUAGAGUGAUCGAAAGAUGAAAAGCACUUUGGAAAGAGAGUCAAACAGCACGUGAAAUUGUUGAAAGGGAAGCGCUUGCAGCCAGACUUGCUUGCAGUUGCUCAUCCGGGCUUUUGCCCGGUGCACUCUUCUGUAGGCAGGCCAGCAUCAGUUUGGGCGGUGGGAUAAAGGUCUCUGUCACGUACCUCUCUUCGGGGAGGCCUUAUAGGGGAGACGACAUACCACCAGCCUAGACUGAGGUCCGCGCAUCUGCUAGGAUGCUGGCGUAAUGGCUGUAAGCGGCCCGUCUUGAAACACGGACCAAGGAGUCUAACAUCUAUGCGAGUGUUUGGGUGUCAAGCCCGAGCGCGUAAUGAAAGUGAACGGAGGUGGGAACCCGCAAGGGUGCACCAUCGACCGAUCCUGAAGUUUACGGAAGGAUUUGAGUAAGAGCAUGGCUGUUGGGACCCGAAAGAUGGUGAACUAUGCUUGAAUAGGGUGAAGCCAGAGGAAACUCUGGUGGAGGCUCGCAGCGGUUCUGACGUGCAAAUCGAUCGUCAAAUUUGGGCAUAGGGGCGAAAGACUAAUCGAACUAUCUAGUAGCU